UUGGUAUGUUACGAUUGUUUUAUAGGUGGUGAUUCGUGCUCAAAAUGGCGAACUCCUCUAUCGUAUUUCACCGUGGGCAAGAUACGUAGUCCGUUAUGAAGGCAAAGUGAAUUACGAUUGGGUACACUGGGAUCCACCACAAUCAUAUAUACGUAAGCAUCGUUCUCCCAAGAAAUUAAAAAGCCUGAGAAUCUAUGAAUCUCAUGUGGGAAUUGCUUCCCCAGAAGGGAAAAUAGCUUCUUAUAAAAACUUCACGUUUAACGUACUGCCCAGAAUAAGGGAUCUUGAUUAAAAGCACUGCAGAAAUAGCUUCUUAAGGCAGAGCAAAAUAAAAAAGUUAAAUUUAUGGAAACGGGAUGUGGACUGAAGUAUCAUUUUAAACCAAAAUACAUUCAACAGAUUUUAAAGUAAUAUGUGAUUUCAGAAAUCUAGACAGUUAUUGGAGGGCAAUUUGCUUUUGGCAUGGCUUGCUUUUCAUCUGAAAGCAGAUCUGUUGCAUGUUAGUCUUUGGAAAAUACUGUGUUCUUAAUUGGCUCUGCUAA